rnacentral:rRNA from 1 species
GACGAACCGUGCGAACGUUAUUCGGAAUCAUUGGGCUUAAAGGGCGCGUAGGCGGCGGCGUAAGUUGGAAGUGAAAUCCCAUCGGCUCAACCGUGGAAUCGCUCCCAGUACUGCGUCGCUCGAGGGGGAUAGGGGUCUGCGGAACUACCGGUGGAGCGGUGAAAUGUGUUGAUAUCGGUGGGAACGCCAGUGGCGAAAGCGGCAGACUGGACCCUUUCUGACGCUGAGGCGCGAAAGCUAGGGGAGCAAACGGG